rfam:Bacillus sp. OV166 genome assembly, contig: Ga0115450_11
UAUUAGAGAAUAGGAUUUCUCAAGGGUGGUCGGCACACUCCCAAUAGAAAGGGGGUGAUGCUGAAUGACAGUUUUUGAAGCUUUAAUGAUUACGAUUGCUUUUGCCAGUUUAAUCGUAGCCGUACUGUCAUUUAAACAAAAAUAAUCCACCCUUGAGUUUAGAGGCUCGGGUGGAUUACUCACUUCAUAGUUGAUCCCUUUUGAGGGAACCGUCUAUUGCUGGACCGGACAUGUUACUGCAUGUUCGG